ACGCUGGCGGCGUGCCUAAUACAUGCAAGUCGAACGGCUUUUCUAUGGAAGCUUGCUUCCACUGAGAAGAUAGUGGCGAACGGGUGAGUAACACGUGGGUAACCUGCCCAUAAGAGGGGGGAUAACAUCCGGAAACGGGUGCUAAUACCGCAUAGUUUUCUUGAUCGCAUGAUCGGGAAAGGAAAGACGGCCUUUGUGCUGUCGCUUAUGGAUGGACCCGCGGCGUAUUAGUUAGUUGGUGAGGUAACGGCUCACCAAGACGAUGAUACGUAGCCGACCUGAGAGGGUGAUCGGCCACAUUGGGACUGAGACACGGCCCAAACUCCUACGGGAGGCAGCAGUAGGGAAUCUUCCGCAAUGGACGAAAGUCUGACGGAGCAACGCCGCGUGAGUGAAGAAGGUUUUUCCGGAUCGUAAAACUCUGUUGUCAGAGAAGAACAAGUUGGAGAGUAACUGCUCCAGCCUUGACGGUAUCUGACCAGAAAGCCACGGCUAACUACGUGCCAGCAGCGGC
rnacentral:rRNA from 1 species